GACAGAGGGGGCAAGCGUUGCUCGGAUUGACUGGGCGUAAAGGGCGCGUAAGCGGAUAGUACAGUCAGGCGUGAAAUUCCUGGGCUCAACCUGGGGGCUGCGUUUGAUACGUAUUGUCUGGAGUUCGGAAGAGGGUCGUGGAAUUCCCAGUGUAGAGGUGAAAUUCGUAGAUAUUGGGAAGAACACCGGUGGCGAAGGCGGCGACCUGGUCCGAUACUGACGCUGAGGCGCGAAAGCGUGGGGAGCAAACAGG
rnacentral:rRNA from 1 species